rnacentral:misc_RNA from 1 species
CCGAGAAUACAAAACCCGAGCGCCCGGUGCUUUUUGAAGUGCCGGGUAGUGGGUCUUAUCUCUAUUACCACACUUGUGCACAACCCUUUUUUUUUUAAACAUUUAUCAAACCAGCGACCGCAUGUUUUUAAUUAUAUACAAAAAGAGAAA